rnacentral:misc_RNA from 1 species
GGAAAGUAAAAGUCGUAACAAGGUCUCCGUUGGUGAACCAGCGGAGGGAUCAUUACCGAGUUUUUUACUCCCAAACCCCUGUGAACUUAUACCUUUACCGUUGCUUCGGCGGGUUAACGCCCCGGAAAGGCCCCCGAAAGGGAGCCGCCCCGGAACCAGGCGCCCGCCGGGGGACCCAAACUCUUGUAUUUUCUUACCUAGCAUGUCUGAGUGGAAUCAUAAACAAAUGAAUCAAAACUUUCAACAACGGAUCUCUUGGUUCUG